rnacentral:rRNA from 1 species
CCUACGGGGCAGCAGUGGGGAAUCUUGCGCAAUGGGCGAAAGCCUGACGCAGCCAUGCCGCGUGAAUGAUGAAGGUCUUAGGAUUGUAAAAUUCUUUCACCGGGGACGAUAAUGACGGUACCCGGAGAAGAAGCCCCGGCUAACUUCGUGCCAGCAGCCGCGGUAAUACGAAGGGGGCUAGCGUUGCUCGGAAUUACUGGGCGUAAAGGGAGCGUAGGCGGAUAGUUUAGUCAGAGGUGAAAGCCCAGGGCUCAACCUUGGAAUUGCCUUUGAUACUGGCUAUCUUGAGUGUGGGAGAGGUUAGCGGAACUCCGAGUGUAGAGGUGAAAUUCGUAGAUAUUCGGAAGAACACCAGUGGCGAAGGCGGCUAACUGGCCCAUUACUGACGCUGAGGCUCGAAAGCGUGGGGAGCAAACAGGAUUAGAUACCCUGGUAGUCCACGCCGUAAACGAUGAGUGCUAGUUGUCGGCAUGCAUGCAUGUCGGUGACGCAGCUACGCAUUAAGACACUCCGCCGUCGGGUAGGUACGGUCGCGAGAUUAAACUACAAGAAGUUAGACGGCGUGAGACGUGCCGAACGGACGACGACGAGGGAGUAGG